AUCAUUACAGAGUUCCUGCCCUCACGGGUAGAAACCCCACCCUUGUGUAUUAUAUAUUGUUGCUUUGGCGGGCCGCCCUCACGGGCACCGGCUCACGCUGGCUCGCGCCCGCCGAAGGACCCCAAACUCUGAAGUAUAGUGUCGUCUGAGUACUAUUUAAUAGUUAAAACUUUCAACAACGGAUCUCUUGGUUCUGGCAUCGAUGAAGAACGCAGCGAAAUGCGAUAAGUAAUGUGAAUUGCAGAAUUCAGUGAAUCAUCGAAUCUUUGAACGCACAUUGCGCCCCUUGGUAUUCCGAGGGGCAUGCCUGUUCGAGCGUCAUUUUGACCACUCCCGCUUGCGGGGUCUUGGGCCUUCGCCUCUGGGCGGGCCUUAAAAUCAGUGGCGGUGCCGUCCGGCUCUAAGCGUAGUAAAUCUCCUCGCUAUAGGGUUCCGGAGGGAUGCUGGCCAACAACCCCC
rnacentral:rRNA from 1 species